CCACUGGUGGCUGGGAGUCAAGCUUCCUCACUCUCACUCCUCUCCUCUGCUCCCCCGCCGCCGCCACCUCGCUCGCUCUCCUCCUCCGCCGCCGUCUCCUCCCAAACGCCCACCACAUCACUGGACCACGAAAUCUUGCGAAUCGAGCCGCCCACCACAUCCAUUGCUCGAUCCUCCUCUUCCUCGAUCCGCUUUUGCUCCACUCACAGUCCCAGCACCAAGACGGAUUUUACAUAGAUGCAGUGGUGAGCUAGGGGCACAGCAUUGCCAUCAGUCCAUGGCGGUGGUGAGCGCCGCGCACGGCGCCUUUGGGCCCCUGCUCGGGAAGCUCACGGCCUUGCUCGCCGACGAGUGCGGCCGGCUGAAAGGGGUCCGCCGCGAGAUCCGCUCCCUCAGAUCCGAGCUCGCCAGCAUGCACGCCGCGCUCAAGGAGUACACCAAGCUGGACGACCCCAACCACCAGGUCAAGGCCUGGAUCUCGCUGGUCAGGGAGCUGGCCUACGACACCGAGGACGUCUUCGACAAGUUCAUCCACCACCUCGGCGACAGCCAAGACCAUGGCGGAUUCAAGGACUUGUUCCGCAAGACCGUUCGCCGUCUCAAGACACUUGGAGCCAGGCACGGAAUCGCCGGCGAGAUCCACGACCUCAAGGACCGCAUCAGGCAGGUGAAAGAGCUCAAGGAUUGUUACAAGCUGCUGAAUGAUGCUCCUUCGAGCACCGCCGGCCCUCCAGCCGUGGAUCCGCGGCUGCACGCACUUUUUGCCGAUGAGGCACACCUUGUGGGCGUCGACGGUCCAAGAGACCAUCUUGCCAAGUGGAUGUUGGAAGAAGCAAACACAUCGCCCAAACAUUGCAAGGUCUUGUCUAUUGUUGGGUUUGGUGGUUUGGGCAAAACAACGCUGGCAAAUGAGGUUUGCCGCAAGAUUCAAGGGAAGUUUGAUUGCAAGGCUUUCGUGUCGGUCUCGCAAAAACCAGAUAUAAAGAAGAUUAUCAAGGAUGUGAUCUCUCAAGUGUCAUGCCAAGGUGGAUCCACAAAAGAUACCAGUGAUUGGGAUGAAAUGAAGUAUAUUUCAGAGCUAAGAGUACUACUACAAAAUAAAAGGUAUCUCAUCAUCAUCGAUGAUGUAUGGUCUACGCAAGCAUGGCAAGCUAUCAAGUGUGCUUUUCCAGAGAAUAAUUGUUCUAGCAGAAUUAUAGCUACUACACGCAUCAUUGAAGUAGCAAAGUCAUGUUGUCCAGACGAUGAUGACCGUGUGUAUCAAUUGGAAGCCCUAAGUGAUCUCCACUCCAGAAGAUUGUUUUUCAAAAGAUUAUUUGGCUCUGAGGAACAUUGCCCUGACAUGUUGAAGGAAGUUUCUAAUAAAAUCCUAAAGAAAUGUGGAGGCCUACCAUUGGCAAUUAUCAGCAUAUCUGGUUUGCUAGCAAACCGACCAGCCAUCAAGGAAGAAUGGGAGAAGGUUAAGAGGUCAAUUGGUACUGCACUGGAGAAAACUAACAGUCUAGAGGGCAUGAGUAGCAUACUAUCUCUUAGCUACAAUGAUCUUGCACCUCGUCUCAAGACUUGCUUGCUGUACCUAAGUUUGUUUCCCGAAGACCAUGUGAUUGACAGAGAUAGGCUAGUGAGGCGAUGGAUCGCAGAAGGCUUCAUCUCUGAAUAUCGUGGACAGAGCAAGCAAGAGGUUGCGGAGACUUACUUCUAUGAGCUGAUCAAUAAAAGCAUGGUCCAACCGGUGGGCAUUUGGUAUGAUGGAAAGGUCCAUGCCUGUCGAGUCCAUGAUAUGAUGCUCGAAAUUAUUAUUUCAAAAUCAGCUGAAGAUAAUUUUACCACUGUGGUAGGUGGAGGUCAAACUAGUUUGGCCAAUCAUCAAGGUUCAAUUCGGCGGCUAUCAAUCCAGCACAUUGACAAGAAACUUGCAUCUGAACUGGCAAAUGUAGAUCUAAGCCAUGUUCGAACUUUGAUAGUAAUGCCAUCAUGUUGCGUCACACACUUGCCCAGCCUUGAUCGGUUUGAAGCUUUACGUGUUCUGGAUUUUGAAGGUUGUGGGGAUUUAAAGGACUAUGAUAUGAAAGGAAUGGAAAAAUUAUUCCAGCUAAAGUACCUCAGCUUUAGGGGCACAGGUAUAUCAAAGCUGCCAUCAGGGAUCGUCAUGCUAGGUAAUCUAGAGACACUAGAUCUUAGGAAUACACAUGUGCGUGAGUUGCCUGCUGGAAUUACUCGGCUCACUACACUACAACACCUAAUUGGAUAUCUGAACAAACUACCAAACGGGAUUGGGGGCAUGAGGAAUUUACAGGAGAUGCCAAUAUUUGUUAUUAUCUCGCAAGAAACAGAUGUGUUGGAGGAUCUCCGGAACCUGACAAGUUUGGAGGAACUCUAUGUGGAUCUUGGUGAUGAAGUCUCUUGCGAGGACAAGAGAUGUGAACAAGAGGCGUUCCUCUCCUCACUGUGCAAGCUUGGCACCUGCAAACUCUGUGAUUUGGAAAUACGAGCAUACCGUGGUUCCCUCGACUUCUUAGAUUCCUGGUCGCCUCUGCCAUCUUCUCUUCAAAGGUUUUCGGCGACCAGCCCCGAUUCGUUGACAAAUGUUCCAAAGUGGAUUACACCAGCACUCACCAACCUUGCCAACCUGAGCAUCAGCUUAACUGAACUGACGGAAGAUGGGCUGCUUGCUCUUAGGAAGCUCCCAUCCUUACUUCGCCUGACACUACGGCCAUCAAAGAAGUUUUUUGGCACAGUCCAAGCCACUUCUUUCCCAAACCUGAAGGUGCUUUACUUUGGAAAACCUGAACAAUUAUAUGUUUCGUUCGUGAAAGAGUCUGCACCCAAGCUUGAGGAACUUAUCAACAUGCCAUUCAGUGUGUCGGCUGCAAAAGCUGAUAAAUUCUAUUUAGGCAUACAUCAUCUCCCAUGUCUCAAAUUAGCUCACAUAGUGCUUGAUAAGAAAGAGGCGACACGGUCAGAAUGCAAGGCUGCUGCUGCUGCGAUCAGGAAAGAAGCAGGUGCCAAUUCCAACCACCCUGCAGUUUAUUUUGAGGGGGAACCAGCGGAAGAGACUGGUGGUAUCGCUGAUGAGGAUUAAAGUGCUCACAGCCUGCAAGAGGAUAUGUUGUGCGGCUGGAUUGCUUGGUUGCAGUGUCACAGCGAAGAAGAUAUGUUGUGCGGCUAGUUAAUAUUCAUUGCACUUUCAAUCUCAACUUAAUCAGAAACAGAAAAGCCUCCUGGAAAAAGUAUUCUCGAGUCUCAACUGAAGUUGCUACAUGCACUCUGUUUGACUGCUUCUGUCCCUUACUUUGAGGAUUCAGAAUUAAGCUCUGUUUUUGCCUCCGUCUGCCAGAACUUGGAGUCUGAAAGCAUUCGGCUCUAUUAAAUUCAGGUUUGCUACAAAAGCAUGGAUGCUGCUGCCGCAUAUAUACAACAACUGAAACUGAAGAUGGAGUACCAUUUUGGCUGCUACAAAAGCACGGAUGCUGCUCCAAAACGCAAGCAGGCGCCGCCGAUAACUGGUUGAUGGCCGUCCCGGCGGUUAUGCUCCCUCACCUUGCCGACCUGUGCAUCAGCUUAACUGAACUGACACAAGAUGCUCGCCUGAAACUAACGGCCAUUAAAGGAGUUUGUUGGUACAGUCCAAGGCAUUUCUUUCCCAAGUCUCAAGGUUUUGGAGUUGGGAUUUAAGAUGGAAGGAGCAUAGAUUACGUUCGUGAAAUGGUCGGCGCCCAGGAUUGUCGAACUUACCAUGCCAUUUAGUGUGUCGGCGGCAAAAGCUGAUGGCUUCUAUUCAGGCAUUUGCAUUCAGGGUCAUUUUUAUGUUUGUUCCUCUAAAAAAGAAGUUAUGUUGAAUUACUGUGCCGUGAACAUGGCAGAUCCA